AUGAGCCGAGAGCACAGAACAGAACAAAGGCGGGGGGCGGUGGAGACCCUGCCUUCCAAGCGCCCCCUCCCCCAAGCACAUUUUAGGAUGCCUGGAGAGGGAGGUAUGUGCAAUGAGCCCGGUGGAGGAGCAAGGGCAGCUUCGGCGUUGCGGCCCCAAUCCCAGUUUCCCACUUCCUUCCCGGGCACUGGGGCGUGGCCCAGGCCCUCUUCCAUGGUCAAGUCUGUCUCCCACAGGCAUGUGGUCCACCCCAGAGGUAGCGGCUCCUGUACCAGAAAGGACGGGUCUGGGAGAUCCAAACUCCAGGAGGAAGAGGGUUGGUGUGGGGCCCCGGACAUCCGGGCUCAGCCAGGGGUGAGGAUUCUGCGGACAGUGCCCUGGUUCCAGAAGGAAGCCAGCAUCUCGACGGUGCCGUCAGGGGCUCUAGCAGCCUGCAGAGCCCCAGGGCAUGGACUAAGCCGGGACCUCUGGGUCUCUGGGGGGGGGGGGGGGGGGGGGGGGGGGGGGCAGGAAUGCGUGAAGGUUCUCCCCGGGCCUGCCUGUCCGUCUGCUGCCCACGGGCCUUCCCGGAGCCCUGGUCCCACAACGGCCCGUCCACCGCCCGCAGCUCGGGGCUCAGGUGCCCGGUCCUGGGGCGGCUUCCAGGGCAGGCCGGCUGCCCGCGGGAGGCCCCAGAGCCCGGGAGCCACUGCUGCCCCCCAGCAGGUCCUCCUCGUCCUCGUCCUCCAAGGCCCGAGCCGCGCGCCGGGGCGGCGGCCGGGGCGUGGGCUCGUCGCGCUCGGCCAUUCGCUCGACGGCGCCCUCGCCCACGAGGAAGACGGUGUCGGCGACGCGCGGGGGCCCGGUGACCGGGUUGUGGUCGUAGGAGAAGACGCGCAGCGCGCGCAGCGGGUGCAGGUCGGGGAAGCCGCCCAGGCGGUUGCGGUCCAGGUCGAGGAUGUGCAGGCGGCCCAUGCGCAGCAGCGCGGGCGGGAACUCCUCGAAGCGGUUGCCGUAGAGCCACAGGCCGCGCAGGCCCGUCAUGCGCGGCAGCUCGGCGGGCAGCGCGCGCAGCCGGUUGUCGCCCAUCUGCAGCGACUGCAGCGCCGCCAGGCGCAGGAGCGGCCGCGGGAAGCGCCGCAGGAAGUUGCCCUCGAUCCAGAGGCAGCGCAGGCUCUGCAGCUGCGCGAAGUCCGCGGGCAGCGCCAGCAGCCGGUUGCCGCCCAGGUAGAGGCGCGUGAGGCGCGGCAGGCGACACAGGCCGUCGGGCAGGCGCUCCAGCUUGUUGGAGUCGAGCGCCAGGAUGCGCAGCUCGCGCAGCUCCUCGAUCUCCUCGGGCAGCUCGCGCAGCCCCGUGCCGCUCACGUAGAGCUUCUGCAGGCGGCUCAGCGCGCACACGGCGCCGGGCAGCCGCCGCAGCCGCCCCCCGCUCAGCUCCAGCUGCUGCUCGCCGCUGCGCAGCUGCUCCUCCGCGCCCGACGGCAGCGCGUCCGGCGUGGACUCGGCGACGCCCAUGGUCACGGGCCCCGGCCGGGGCCGCCGCCCGGCAUCGCCCCGCCCCGCCCCGCCCCGGCCGCCCCCGGGCCGCCCCGACGGGGCCGAGGCUGCGCGGGCUCCUGGGGCCCCCCGCCCCGGCCUGGGCCUGGGCCUGGGCCUGCGCCGGGAGGGGGGCCGGGCCGGGCCGCGCGGGGAGGAGGCGCCCGCUCGGGCUGCGCCGCCGCCGCCCCCCGCCUCCCCCGCUCCCUCCGCCGCAGGCGACUGACUCGGGCUCGCUGCGCCUCGCGGCUCCGC
rnacentral:lncRNA from 1 species